AAGGCUAAUAUUAAAAAAAAAAAAAAGACACUAUACCUGUAACAUUAUGUACAAUGAAUGUUAUGUAUGUAUUCAUACCACGUGGAUUUUACAGCAUCUGCCAUCCACAUUCAUAAACUGUGAUGUCUGUAGAUAGUCACUAGCCUACCAGUGAAUGGCAGAACACGUGCCAUUAUGAUAACUCAUAAUAGAUUUAUUACAAUUGUAUAAAUAACUUCAGUGAGGAGUUAAAAAGAAUCCCAGUGGCAUGGGCAGUUAGUCAGCUGGCUGCUGAAGGACAAAGGGAGAAUAUGCUCUUGGUGCACAACACGUCUGAUCUCGGGAGGCAAAAUCAGCUGUAUUUAUCCAUUUGACAGUCCCUGCCAGGCUGACAUGGAAAUGUCUAUUUAUGCAUCUGAGGUGCCUCUCUCAAGAAAUGUGAUCAACAUUUUCAUUUGCAUCCAGAAACAGAACCUUGAAGGAAUAUUGAGCACUUGGAACUGGAAAUCUCACAGAGAUGGAUGAGAAAUACUCCAUGGUUCUGGGUGUCCUCUGGAUUUUCAAACAAGUUCUGGCGCCAAGUUUGGUUGUUAUGGGAAGGUAGGAAGUCAUUUUUCACUGCCAUCAGGAGCAUGCCAGUUUUAUCAAAGCUACCGUGGGGUACCAGAAUGACCUACUGCAUUUUCCUGAUAGUUCAUCAAAGCUGGUGAGCAAAUAUCCAGUCUUCAGUGAGGGCUAAUCUAAAAAUCAAUCAAGCUCCUUUACAAUCACAACUGAAAUAAUGGGAGACACGGUCCAAGACAAAAGCUGAAGAAGGCAUCCAGCCAUGAUUCCCUUUGGGUUUUCACUGAGAAGGGCAAGGAUGUCUGCAUAGAAAAGUCAGAUUUUGCUUACUGUUGGAAGCAGCUCCAUUUAAGAAAAAACUGAAACAUGCCAGAAAUAGGGAGACUGGGGAAACAGGUGAACGAGCCAAACAGCAGUCCUUCAAGACUGAGUCCUAGCAAAAGCUGAGAGAAAGUUCUUCUUCCUCCUAGCGCUGAAGUUCCUCCAAAGAGGAAGCAGGCAUAAGGAGUAUGAAAUAAAGAGCAUGAAAUCUUAUCCUCGGGAGCCUCA
rnacentral:lncRNA from 1 species